UACGAAGGGGGCUAGCGUUGCUCGGAAUUACUGGGUGUAAAGCGCACGUAGGCGGCUUUCUAAGUCGGGGGUGAAAUCCUGGAGCUCAACUCCAGAACUGCCUUCGAUACUGGAAAGCUCGAGUCCGGGAGAGGUGAGUGGAACUGCGAGUGUAGAGGUGAAAUUCGUAGAUAUUCGCAAGAACACCAGUGGCGAAGGCGGCUCACUGGUCCGGUACUGACGCUGAGGUGCGAAAGCGUGGGGAGCAAACAGG
rnacentral:rRNA from 1 species